rnacentral:sRNA from 1 species
GUCUCUCUUCAUUUCUUUUCUCUCACAAUCUUCUUCAGUGCUCUCUUCUCUCUCUUCUCUCAGAUUUGUGCUGAAUUAUAUGACUGCAAGAUGUCACAGAGGACACAGUCUUUUCUUCACUCUUCUCUUUAUUUUUCUUUUCAGAACACUCUCUUUUUCUUUUUUCUUUUGUCUAUCUCAUCUGUCUUUUCUCUGCUGUUAGAAAUAUAGACAGUUCUCAGAUCAACUGAGAGAGUUAUCUCUCUUCAUUCACUAUAAAGCCUUUCAGACACAGCAGCAGUGAUUCUCUUGGGAAUCACAUUAUAGCCUCAUCAUAAAUGGUCAUACAUCAGAUCAGAAGUGAAUGUACAGCUCAGUAAAAUUCUUUUCAAUGAGCUGAGUCUUCUCAAGAGUUGUCAUCUGAAUUCUGUUUUCUUUCUCUUUGUGUAUAUAGAAAUCUCUUCAGUGUAGCACAUCUUCAUGCCCUUUGAGAGGCUUCUGAAACAUGAACACUGCCCGUGUUUUCUCCGGGAUGUUAAACCAAUACAAACAAACAAAC